rnacentral:rRNA from 1 species
GGCGAACGGGUGAGUAAUGCAUCGGAACGUAUCCUGUAAUCGGGGGAUAACGUAGCGAAAGUUACGCUAAUACCGCAUACGCUCGAGAGAGGAAAGUGGGGAUCGCAAGACCUCACGUUAUAGGAGCGGCCGAUGUCCGAUUAGCUAGUUGGUGGGGGUAAAAGGGCCUACCAAGGCGACGAUCGGUAGCUGGUCUGAGAGGAUGAUCAGCCACACUGGGACUGAGACACGGCCCAGACUCCUACGGGAGGCAGCAGUGGGGAAUUUUGGACAAUGGGCGAAAGCCUGAUCCAGCCAUGCCGCGUGCGGGAAGAAGGCCUUCGGGUUGUAAACCGCUUUAGUCCGGGAAAAAGGGGUGCGAGGAUAAUACCCUCGUGCUUUGAUGGUACUGGAAGAAUAAGCACCGGCUAACUACGUG